AUCUGCGAGGACUUUGCAGCUAAUAAAAUCAAGCACAGAAACUGAAUUAAUCAAACAGAGGACGUUGAAUUAGAUUUCCGACAGGCAAUGACUUCAAUGGUAGAAGAAGAUGAAAAACCAAAGCACUACUACAUAAAAACCUGUACAAAUACGCGAUUUGAUUUUGAACUUACGAGGACUUUAACUCGGAGAGACAGCAAGAGAAUGGCAUCGGAAAAUCCGUUAGAGCGAUCUGAUACAAGCUUGACACAGGCCGUGAACGAGGAGGAGGAAAUCCACGCGCCGCUGCGUAGGCGCUGCUUUUGGACGGCGGCCAGGGGCGAGAGAGAAGAAUGAGUACAGCUGAAAUUGGAGGAGCUGUAGUUGAUGAAGCGUGCAUAUUGGAUUUGCCAUUGAUCUAUGACUGGGGAGAUUUGUGAGUGCGAAUGCCUAGGGUUUUCCAUUUCCAAGUGAUUAGUUGGUAUUGUAACCACUGAUCCCGCCAUUUUUGGAGUUUUUGAAAUGGAAAGUUUUUCUUUGGGGUUUUUAUAGUUACAGAGAGGGACGGGAAUGCUGAUUUUUG
rnacentral:lncRNA from 1 species